rnacentral:rRNA from 1 species
UACGUAGGGGGCAAGCGUUGUCCGGAUUUAUUGGGCGUAAAGAGCGUGUAGGCGGCCAUGCAGGUCCGUUGUGAAAACUCGAGGCUCCAACCUCGAGACGCCGAUGGAAACCGCAUGGCUAGAGUCCGGAAGAGGAGAGUGGAAUUCCUGGUGUAGCGGUGGAAUGCGCAGAUAUCAGGAGGAACACCGGUGGCGAAGGCGGGUCUCUGGGCAGUAACUGACGCUGAGGAGCGAAAGCGUGGGGAGCGAACAGG